ensembl:lncRNA
CCACAGAACCCAGGGACUGAACCCUCUGGAGUAAGGUUCUCCACAGAACCCAGGGCCUGAACCCUCUGGAGUAAGGUUCUCCACAGAACCCAGGGACUGAACCCUCUGGAGUAAGGUGCUUUACAGAGCCUCUGGAGCACAAUGGCAACAGUGGCAAGGAAAAAAGGGAAGGAGGACAAUCAGAAAUAUGGCAGAUUAAUUCAUACAUGUAUCAGGAUAAGCAUGCUAGCAUACAUACAUGUGGCAGAUUAAUUCAUACAUGUAUCAGGAUAAGCAUGCUAGCAUACAUGUGGCAGAUUAAUUCAUAGAUAUUUCAGGAUAAGCAUGCUAGCAUACAUACAUGUGGCAGAUUAAUUCAUAGAUAUAUCAGGAUAAGCAUGCUAGCAUACGUGUGGCAGAUUAAUUCAUAGAUGUAUCCUGGCCCUGUAAAGCACCUUGAGACAAUUGUAUUGCUUUGGCGCUAUAUAAAAAACAUUGAAUUUAAUUGAAUUCAUGGCAAAGCAGAACCUAAACUCAACAACUCAGUGUGUUAAGGACGUAAGUAUAUUUAGUCAUCAAUUGUCUUUAGUCCGGUUUAUACUCAGCAUGUAAACGGUGCCCUCUAUACAGAGUAUCCAGGCAGGACCUGAUAGGCAGGUAACCCUGAUCAGGGAACACAUUUAAACACGCUACAGUCCUUUCUUCAUGUGUUCCCUUAUGGAAGUAAAGAUCUAUUAUACAUGAUCAGGGAACACUUUUAAACACGCUAGAAUCCUUUUUUCAUGUGUUCACUUAUGGAAAUAGAGAUAUGAUAUACCUGUCUGUCUAUCUAUCAGUGUUCCCUUAUGGAAGUAAAGAUCGUACCUGAUCAGGGAACACAUUUAAACACGCUAGAAUCCUUUCUUCAUGUGUUCACUUAUGGAAGUAAAGAUCUAUUAUACAUGAUCAGGGAACACAUUUAAACACGCUAGAAUCCUUUCUUCAUGUGUUCACUUAUGGAAGUA